AAGUCGUAACAAGGUUUCCGUAGGUGAACCUGCGGAAGGAUCAUUAAUGAAUGAAAUUGAGUGGGGUUGUAGCUGGCCUUUUUACCGGGCAUGUGCACACCUCAUUCAACCACCUUCUAUACCUCUGUGCACUUCUCAUGAGUUGGGCCGCGUCUGAAAUACGACAAAGUCCGGCUCAUGUGCUUUAUACAAACAAAUUAUGUUAUAGAAUGUCACUACCAUGCUUUAAAGCAUAUAAUACAA
rnacentral:misc_RNA from 1 species